rfam:Coniosporium apollinis CBS 100218 chromosome Tnknown supercont1.28, whole genome shotgun sequence.
ACAUUUUCGCAGUUGCCUUUUGGCUUAGAUCAAGUGUAGUAUCUGUUCUUUUCAGUUUAAUCUCUGAAACGAGUCUACGGACUCAUUUAUUGAUUAUACUUAUUUUUGCAACGCGGAAGACGGCCUCUGCGCUUGCGUAUGUCGCCUUCCACCGUGUCGCCGGUAUUGCACUGCCUCCGGCUGACGCGAAAGCAC